AUGGAGGCAUAUUCCUCACCUAAGCCACCUUUACAAGGGACAAAAUUUAACACCCUAGAGAGCGCAUGUGACCACUACAGCACCUACGCGCGCAGGACUGGCUUUGCAAUUAGGCAGCAAUUCAAGAAAGAGAAGGUUGAUGGAACUAUAAGCAGGGUGCUACUAGUUUGUACAAAAUAUGGCAAACAACGCAAGGACAGGGAUGAGCUGCAAGAUGUGGAAAACCCAGCCAACAUUGAGCAAAAAAAGAAAGUUGUUAGGAUUGAAUGUGAAGCGCACAUGUACCUAUCCCACGAUGAUGCAUGGUGGAUUAUUGACCGUUUCGAGGACACCCACAAUCACCCCCUGAUCAAAAAUCCGUCCCCAACAAAAUUCUUAUCAUCACACAUUGCUAAUCAACGAGCUAAGUUCCGCUUAGAGCACCGCUACAAGGACGUUGGGAGCACAAUUGCAUACUUCCAAGAGAUGAGGGCCAAAGAUUCAUAUUUCUACUGGAGAAUCAAACUUGAUGAUGAGGACAGGGUUGAGAACUUGUUCUGGAUAGAUGGCGCAUCACGCAGGGCAUAUGCAAAGUAUAAUGACUAUUUGUCGUUUGACACGACAUACAUGACAAACAUGUACAAGAUGCCGUGUGCACCAUUCAUUGGAAUUAAUUACCAUGGUCAAUCCAUCCAGUUUGGGUGUGGCUUCGUUCGAAACCAACUAAAGAAAAACUUUGUGUGGCUGUUUAAUACAUUCCUCCAUGCAAUGGGUGGUGUUGCCCCUAAAAACAUCAUCACAGACCAGGACUUUGCAAUGAGGAGUGCGAUCGACGAGGUCUUCUUGAACAUAAUACACAGAAAUUGCCGCUUGCAUAUAAUGAAGAAGGCGCAGGAGAAACUUGGAAAACUUAUGGCUGAUGAUAAACCACUAAACAAAGCGUUCAAAGACUGUGUCGACAACAACUUGACUGAGGAAGAGUUUGAAAACAAAUGGUGGGCAAUGAUGGAUGAAUAUGGCCAGAUCGACAAUGAACAUUUUCAAUGGCUGUGGGAAAAUAGGAAAUGUUGGGCCCCAGUGUACUACAUGAAGCAUUUCUUUCCAUUCCUGCAGACAACUGCAAGGAGCAAGGGAUUCAAUGUUGUGCUCAAGAAGUACGUGAACCCCAACAUCUCAUUGAUUGAGUUCGCAACUCAAUACACUGCAAUCCAGGAAAAAGCAAUGGUGGCUGUAACAUCCCAAAUUUUCAAUUUGGAAUGUUAUACAUUAGGUCACCAUGCAUAUCAUAUUUUAUUUUGCUUCUGGUUUUGA
rnacentral:rRNA from 1 species